AACGAACGCUGGCGGCAGGCCUAACACAUGCAAGUCGAGCGCACCCUUCGGGGCGAGCGGCGGACGGGUUAGUAACGCGUGGGAAUAUACCCUUCACUACGGAAUAGCCUCGGGAAACUGAGAGUAAUACCGUAUACGCCCUUCGGGGGAAAGAUUUAUCGGUGAUGGAUUAGCCCGCGUCUGAUUAGAUAGUUGGUGGGGUAAUGGCCUACCAAGUCUACGAUCAGUAGCUGGUUUUAGAGGAUGAUCAGCAACACUGGGACUGAGACACGGCCCAGACUCCUACGGGAGGCAGCAGUGGGGAAUCUUAGACAAUGGGCGAAAGCCUGAUCUAGCCAUGCCGCGUGUGUGAUGAAGGCCUUAGGGUCGUAAAGCACUUUCGCCAGGGAUGAUAAUGACAGUACCUGGUAAAGAAACCCCGGCUAACUCCGUG
rnacentral:rRNA from 1 species